UACGUAGGCAGCAAGCGUUGUUCGGAGUUACUGGGCGUAAAGGGUGUGUAGGCGGUUGCUUAAGUUUGGUGUGAAAUCUCCCGGCUCAACUGGGAGGGUGCGCCGAAUACUGAAUGACUAGAGUGCGGGAGAGGAAAGUGGAAUUCCUGGUGUAGCGGUGAAAUGCGUAGAUAUCAGGAGGAACACCGGUGGUGUAGACGGCUUUCUGGACCGUAACUGACGCUGAGACACGAAAGCGUGGGUAGCAAACAGG
rnacentral:rRNA from 1 species